rnacentral:misc_RNA from 1 species
AGAUUAGUGAGGGUACAGAACAACUUAAAAUAACUGAAGAUGAGAGAAUGGAACAUUCUCGCCUACAAUCAGAACUGAAGCAGGAGAUAGUUAAGUGUAGACUCCUCCGAGAAGAUCUAUUGAAGGAAGCUGAAGAUUUGAAGCAGGAAAAAGAAAGAUUUGAGAGAGAAUGGGAAGAACUAGAUGAGAAAAGAUCUGAGAUCAAGAUAGACUUGCAGGAACUUAAUGAACGGAGAGAGAAUUUAGAAAAACUGAAGCGCAGUGAAGAGGAAAGGAUAAGCAAGGAGAAGCUGGAAACAGACAAUUAUGUCCAGAUGGAGUUGGAAGCCCUUAGAGUGGCAAGAGAAACAUUUGAAGCUACCAUGGAUCAUGAGAAGUCAAUAUUAGCCGAGGAAACUCGAAGUGAGAAAAGCCAGAUGCUUCAUGCUUAUGAACAGCAGAAAAGGGAACUUGAAAGUGAUAUGCAGAGGAAGCAGGAGGAAAUGGAGUCUGCACUGCGUGUACAAGAGAAACUCUUUGAGGAAGAGAGCCAGAAGGAGCUCAGCAAUAUUGAAUAUAUAAAGGAAAUCACCCAUAGAGAGAUGGAAGAGAUGAAAUUAGAAAGAGUCAGUCUUGAGAAAGAAAAACAGGAAAUUUCUGCUAACAAGGGGAUUCUUGAAGUACAACAGUUGGAAAUGAAAAAGGAUAUUGAUGUGCUUGUUGGCUUAAGCAGGAAGUUGAAGGAUCAGAGGUUAGCUUACAUUAAGGAAAGAGAGAGGUUUAUUGAUUUUGUCAAGCAGCAGAAGAGCUGCAGCUCUUGUGGAGAAGGAAUUCAUGUAAUUGAGUUUUCUGACCUUCAAGCUCUAGCUGAAGCAGAGACUUUUGAGGCCCCUCCUCUGCCAAGUGUUGCACAGGAAUAUUUGAAGGAUGGUCUACAAGGAUCUCCGGGAAGGGCUAGUGAUGAGCUGUCCCCUGGAGCUCUUGAUACAGCAUCCAUGGUUUCUGCUGGAACCAUGUCCUGGUUUCGAAAGUGUACAUCCAAGAUUCUCAAAUUCUCACCAAGCAAAAACAUUGGAAAUGUUGCUUCUGAUUGUCUGGUUGAUGAAUCUUCUCUGUCACAGAAGUGUGCAGGCAUAUCACCAAAUAAACAAUCAAAGGAAGGAAAUCCAAUGGAUCUGUCCAUUUCCAUGAAUGUUCUUGAUGAUCAGAGGGUUCAACAGGAUGAUGGUGUUAGAGAGGUCAAAGUAGGCCAAGACAAUGUAGAAGACUCUCAUCAUUCGGACAUGAAAGCUGGACAGCGCAGAACUGUCAAGAAAGGGCGUGGUAGAACUAGUAAAACAGAAAAAGCUGCAAAUAUGACAGUUCUUGGGAAAAUUUCUAAAGAGGGUGAGAAUAUCACCAAUGGAAGUUUGGAGACUUCAGUUAAUAUGAACGAGGAGAGCCAGAGAGGAUCUGGUCUUUUGGGUGGAGCACCGAGAAAUUCCAGAAAGCGUAGUCAUACAUCACAGGGAACAGCUUGUGAGAUUGAUGGCAAUAAUAGUGAAGGACAGUCGGAUAGUGUAGCCAGCAUUCGUGGGAAAAGGAGGCAACAGGCUGCCCCUAGUGUGCAGGCUCAUGCCGAAAGAAGAUACAAUCUGCGCCGACCUAGAAGUGCUGCACCAGCGGCAUCCUAUGGAUCUUUGCCAGAGCCAGUCGUAAAAUCUCAGGAAGAGAAUCAGAACUCUAAAGCUUCCCUGCAAACUCCUCAGGUGAACAACAGUGAAGACGUCAUUGAUCAUCCCACGGUAUCUGAGAGCCCUUUCAAUGAUGCAGUGGACAAUCUGGAAAGCAGUGCUAACAAGGUAAAUGAGCUGUUGGAUGAUACAGGUUUGAGUGAAGAGGUGAAUGUAACACCAAAACGACCUUCAGCAUCCAGCGAUGAGGAAGGGUCUGAUGACAGUGAUGAUGAGGAGGAAGAAAUUGAACAUCCCGGUGAAGUGUCUGUAGGGAAGAAGAUUUGGACUUUCAUCACAACAUAGUGGAGACCUAAAUGACUGUAGUUUGUGGUCGUGCAUUGGAGGUAGCUCUAGGCAUCUUGAUUGGUAUUUUGUUUCUUUUGCUACUUGUAGAGUAAUUUGAUGAUUUUAGAGUAAUGUGCAGUAGUGUGUAUGCUUAAAGUUUAGUCAACAGAAAUCAGUUUAGGGUCGGCAAUUUGAUUGUUCAUAUAAUGUUGGUCCAACUCCGGGUGCACGCAUAUUGGUUUAACAAUUUUUAGUAUCCAUAUGCUUGCUGUCCCUAAGUUGACUAUUGCAGCUGUAACACUAGAGUGUGCUUCUCUCCUGUAUCUACACUAUUGUAAGUUUAACCACUAAAUAGGUGGAUAAUAU